CCGGCGCCGUUCGGUGUCAGGCAGGCGCACAAACGGCUGGCCCGUCCGCCGCGCAGGAGGCUCCGGCACCGCCCUCGACGCACACAAGCAGAGGGCCGGCCGCCGACACACUCCAGGCGGCGGGGACUACUCGGAGACGCGCAGCAGACGCCGCGGGAGGCGCAGCUCAUGCGAUAUAAGUUCGUGCUGGAUCUUCGGGCAGGCCAAGCUGUCGCUACGACAGGAGUGUAGAACGAAAGCUCUCGUCUUGUCGGCCAGCGCGCGGCGCCUGCCGCCACCGUAAUUUCGCAAGAUAUACCAGCGGACCCUGUCGAUGCAGCGCGGCUCAGCGCAGGGCUUCUCGCCCUGCCUGCCACACAGACGCCCACCCUCCAGCUUUAUCACCUGGAGCACCUCAUUCGAAGCCAUCGUUCGGCGGCCCACCUCGACUUCCAUGCCGGCGCGGCCGGCAGACGACACCGCCGCCUGGCGUCAAGUUUCCGAAUCAGCUGGCACUUGGCGCCGCGUACGGCCGGGUCUGCGACAUACGCGAAGCCGGCGCCCGUAUACCGCCCCUGUUGUGCGCACAAUGCUGACUGCAGGGCUGCUUGCAGCACAUCGUGGCGAGUGAAUAAUUGUUUUACAUAGAAAAAUGAUGUUAGUUCAGACGUGAAUAUAAACUAUCGUGCUACCUUCACAGCCCUUGAAAAACUAGAGCCGUGAGCUUGCAAGUCUGACCGCUGCUUGAAAUGCGCUCACGUGCUUACAUCCG